AGAUAUACCAAGUUUUUUACAUAUUAAUCAGAUUGUCAACUCACAUGUAACAUUUAAGAACAUCGAGUUAGAGCUCAAAUGUCCAUAUUUGUUCUCUGCGUGACAGCGGUACGUUCCUCUGUCUUCAGGGCGGACUGAGGGGAAGGUAUGAGGUUGUCUUGGUUCCCAGAGCAGAGGUUGGUUGUUCUUGAACCAGGUGUACUCAGCUGCUGGGUUGGCAUCACUGCUGCAGCUCAGAGUCACUGAACUGCCCUCCUUUAUUUCACCAGAGGGACUUGAUGACAAAAAUGUGUGUUUAGGCCCAUCUGGAGACACAUAGAAACAUGUAACAACACCAUUUAUAUUCAUGACAGUAUUAAUGAUAUUAAAAAUCACAUUGUGGCAAAGUUUGGGUUCAUAAUUAAUGCUAACACAGUUAAGACAAUUCUCUAUUGUGUUUUACUCACAUUUAACAUCAAUAGAGUUGUAGACAGAUCUUUUCCCUAUCGUAUUCUGAGCCUCACAGCGAUACUGUCCGGAGUCUGAAGACACGAUGUAGCUAAAGACGAGUAGUGGUCCCUGGUUCAUCUUUGUGGAGGAACGAUCUGCAUUAACCUUGAACCAGGUGUACUCAGCUGCUGGGUUGGCAUCACUGCUGCAGCUCAGAGUCACUCUACUGCCCUCCUCUAUUUCACCAGAGGGACUCACGGUCACUGAGGGGGUAUUUGGAGCGUCUGUUAUGAACACAAAAUCUCAC
ensembl:lncRNA